ACAAGGCCCCUUUAUGCCUGCUCCUCUGGGGUUCGAGUGUUUAGGAUUCCAAGAAGGGAGGGCUCUGGUUCCCAUGGGCCCAGGGGACCCGAAGGUAGGGAGUCUGGGGCAGUGGGAACCCCCUCCCCUCCAGCGAGUGUCACUCAUGGGCUCAGGAUGAGGUCUCUGAGCCUCAGGACCCCACAGCCUGGGGUCAGGAGGGCCAUCCUAGGAGCCCCUGGUGCCUCUCCAGCAUCUUCCACCCCACCGCGGCCCUCUCCCGCUUCCCACAGCUCAGGCAGGAGGUGACCCC
rnacentral:lncRNA from 1 species